GGCGCCAAACUCUCAGGAAAACAAAUGAACACUGACUGGGCUGGGACACACAACAAAGUACAAACCACAAUCACACUGUGUUCUGGUGUAGUGAAAAGCGUUUUACUACGUAAUUUGUGGAAAAUACUUGCUACAGUUACGUAUGCAUCAAAACACCUCAGCAUGAUGCGGAGAAUGGAAGUGCUUGUCACACGAAAACAUGACAAGCUACCUGUAAUAAUUAACACAAGAGUGGUCCAGUAAAUUCAUGCUCACCAAAUGUAAAGAAUAAAUAAAAACGAAAACCCACAGAUGAUGGCACAUUGGUCCCGAAACAUGUUUGGGUACUGAGAAAAACGGUGUUUUGUGUAACAGACGGACCUCAAAUCCCAAAAAUUUUAACUGCAAACACGGCCAAUACAAGGAGCUGCAAAUCAAAAGAUGGAUAUGACUCUUUUAUGCUACUAUCAAUCAAUUGGGACUUUUUAAAAGAUUUUAGUAAUUGAUUCACAGAUCCCGAGGACAGUGUGGCCACAGCAGCUGCCAGAGGGUUUCAUCACAACACCACAGGACAACUCCAUCCAGAUGGAGCCUUUGCCUCCUCUGCCUGCUCUCGUCCUACCAAUGGAGCUGGACCCACAAAUGCCACAGUAGCCAACGCCUUCUACAUUGUGGUAUGGGCCUCAGGAGGUGGACACGUACCCUUCUGGAUGUCUUCCGGGGGACAUUUCCACAAGUGCACAGGCCAGAUAGUGGGGUAUGACUGGAAGUCUUACGUCCCCUGCAGCUACAGCUUCCAGUCCAGUGUGUCCACCCUGCUGCCUCCCCCACUGUUUUCGUGCUCCAUAUACAAUGACAGUCCAUCACCUUGGCGGGGAGCAAUGUAACGGCAUAAAGUCGAGCACCAGCAUGCUAGUUGGGAAUGAUAGAAAAGAGGUGGCUGUGAGAAGGCGUCAGCCAGUCGCACGCUGACUGACCCCUCUCCAGGAUGACUACACGACAACAGCAGCCCCUAUGUGAAGAGGACAUAAGUGCCGUGACUGACUGGUGAUGCUCCAGUUGAAUAGCCACUUCACGACCAGCGGCUGGAUAGAAGCGUCAGUGCUCAUAACUUCGCUUGUACACUCUAUGUAACACAGACAUGGGAACUGUUAUACUGAAGAAAUUGCUUAUUUUGUAUGUCACUCUUUGCUUGUGACACAUCUGUGUAAUUGUUAGAUUUAAGUAUUGUCUUUUAAUUUUU